rnacentral:rRNA from 1 species
UACGGGGGGGGCAAGCGUUGUUCGGAAUUACUGGGCGUAAAGGGCUCGUAGGUGGCCAACUAAGUCAGACGUGAAAUCCCUCAGCUUAACCGGGGAACUGCGUCUGAUACUGGAUGGCUUGAGUUCGGGAGAGGGAUGCGGAAUUCCAGGUGUAGCGGUGAAAUGCGCAGAUAUCAGGAAGAACACCCGUGGCUAAGGCGGCUCUCUAGUACGGUACUGACGCUGAGACGCGAAAGCGUGGGGAGCGAACAGG